AAAAGACAAGGUGCUGCUUUCUUUCCGUCACCUCUCCUGUUCGUGAUGGCGGAGGUGAUGAACAAAGAAACUAUAACGUGCUCAAGGUCGUACAGAAACCUGUGGCAGAAGGCAGAGAAAGCACUAUUACUACAUGUGAUACUGAAACGAGUGAGGCAGUAGAUGAAAGGCACAGGUAAGGCAGAAUCCAUCUACUACUAUUAUCGCUUCAUCCUGCGUUUUAAGUGCUUCAGUAAGAGAUAUGGAGUUCAAACAUCCUCCAACAGACAUUAGGAAUCAUGAAGGCAUUCAUGAAAUAUUUAGUGAUGUGUGCUUUCUGUCUCUGAAAAUCAGUCUGUGCCCUCCCCACUG
rnacentral:lncRNA from 1 species